rnacentral:tRNA from 1 species
GCGGAUGUGGCGGAAUGGCAGACGCGCUAGAUUCAGGUUCUAGUGUUCGCAAGGACGUGGGGGUUCAAAUCCCUUCAUCCGCACCA